CUCUUGGAGAAUUACACCAACCCGAGUAGCUUAGGCAAAAGGGAAUUCGUUGAAGAGAGAA
rnacentral:sRNA from 12 species